AAUAUAGAAAAUAAUAAUAUAAAAAUAAAAUAUAAUAUCCAAUUUUAAAUAAUACAAAACAAUACAAAACAAAACUUUAUAUACACCAUUUGUAUAUGUUGUAUACAUAUGCUUUUUCUCAAUUGAUAUAAAUUUUGUUUGUUUUUUUUUUGGUUUCGUUUUUGUUUUUUCAUAAUGAAUAACAAGAACUAUUCCCAAAUGUCACCAUUUCCUUCUGUUAAGGAUAUAUGUAAUUUAUCUGAAAAAAAAGAAACAUAUAUAUAUAUAUGUACAUAUGUUUACAUAUAUAUUUACAUAUAUAUUUACAUAUAUAUAUAUAUAUAUAUAUAUACAUACACACUAUACACUUCCCUUAUAAAUAUUUGUUUCGCUAUAUUUUUUUUUUUUUUUUGUUUUUUAUACCAUUUCAGACAGUAAUACAAAAACCAAAUUUUAUCUAAUUAAAAGCUCAUCAGAUAAAAACAUAUCAAUCUCUUUAAAUUAUAAUAUAUGGGCCACAACACCAAAAAAUGAAAAUAAAUUUGUCACUGCUUUUAUGGAAAAUGAUUUUGUCGUCUUAAUAUUUUCUGUUAAUGGCAGUUCAAAAUUUUGUGGUUAUGCCAUUAUGCAAUCAAAACCGGGAGAGUCAAAAAAUAAUAAUGUUUAUUUUUAUUAUGAAGAUAAAAUAUUUCGUGGCAGAAAUUUUGAUAUCCAAUGGAUUAGAGUGGUCGACGUAUAUUUUCAAGAGAUUGUACACAUAAAAAAUAGUUUGAACGAAAACAAACCUAUUAAAGUUGGUCGAGAUGGACAGGAAAUUGAACAAAUGGCUGGAAUUAAAUUAUGUGAUUUGUUUGAAGCAAAGUUUGAGAAAGCCAACAGCAACAUAACAACUGUGCCUCCUCCAAUGCAAAAUGUAAAUACCUUAAAUUACGUAAAUCAAAGCAACCCUCAAGAUUUACCGUAUAUGCAUGAUCAAAAAAAUGCAGUAAAAUUAUAUCCUUUAAAUAGCGACUUAAAUAUGAAUUACAAUACUUUUUGUAAUUUAUAUGAAGAGUCACCAUAUAAUUUAUAUAAUAUAUAUAAUCCAGCCAUACAUAUAUUUCCUAUUGAUCUUUCUAACAUGAAUUAUGAUCAAUACAUUGGAUUAUAUGAAACAUCCCAAUCAGUUUGGAAAGAGAAAAUGUCUCAAUUUAAAUCUAAUUAUAAUUACAUAAAGCAGUAAAAAUAAAAAAAAAAAAAUAAUAUUUUUUUUUUUUUUU
rnacentral:lncRNA from 1 species